AGGAUUCGAUUCCCCAAUUUCAGUUACCCCCAAACCUACCCCAAUUUCAUUUACCAAAAAUAACCCCACCCCGUCAUCUCUCUCUCGAACAAACCAGACGAUCCCACCGAAACCCUAGCGCUGCCCUCCAUUCAGCCGCCCAAAAACCCGGCGGCCGGUGCUUUGUUCACCGCCAAAAUGACACCCCACAACCACCUUGACCCUCCUCUCCAAAUCACACUCGUUUUACUUCGAAUAAACCUCGAGCCCUUCGAAUAUUAGAUAAAAAAUUUGGUCCGGAAACCCUAGUUCGUCUAAUUGACCCCAAAGUCACACCACUCCACCUCCUGACCUCCCUCGUUCCUAAAACACCAUCGGUUUGGCUCGAAUCGUGCUAGAACUGUUCGAAUCCCAAAUCGAACCAAAAAAACCUAAUGAGACCAAAACUGGAACCUGUCCAAGAUUAAGGAUUUGAGGUUAUUAAUCGACCUUAGUCGAGUGUUUUCAAUCAAGAACACUCUAUUAAGGUCCAUUUGACCCCAUAAGUUCGAAGCAGAGUUCAAGUUGAGUUUGUUUGUUUCAGAUUUUUUUUUUUAAAGUAUUUUUCCUCCUUCCCUUCUUGUUUUAUUUGUUUCCUAUUAUUAUGCAUAGUUUGGUUGGAAUCUAGUUUUGUUUAUCACUCUUCUUCUUCUCCAGUUAGACCUUUUAUUUGGUCGAAUUCUUCUGUUCGUUGAGUGUAUGUUAUAAGCUAUAUAGUCUAUUUGAAUAAUUUCGUCGAAUAGUUAGUUUAUAAGUUCUUUGUUUUUGUCAAUACAACUCGAGUCCUGUGUGUCUGUUUGAUUCUGUUUUUUUGUUGUCAAUUGUAUGUGUUAUAAACUUUGUAAUCGAUUAGUUAAGUAUAGUCGAUUAGUCUGUUUGAAAGAUAGAAGAAGCUUGAUAAUAAUCCAUUUUUGGUCAUUCAGCAUGAUUACCAUCUUGAUCCUUUCUGUUAUGAUUUCUAUGAUUGACAUGAACCUGGUCUUUAUAUUUGUUCACCUGAACCUCAUUCAUUGACUCUUUCUGCUCGAAUCACUGCCCGAAUUAAGACUAGGAUUGAUUAUAGCUAUGUUACGAUUUGGUAAUUAGUAAUGAGUGUUAGUUAUAUUUUUGAGAGGUUUAAAUACAGAUUGCUGAAGCUUUGAAUCAAGGUAGUAACAGUAGGAUUCAGGGGUAAUUUAGGGGUUGGCUAAGCUACUUUACUGAUUGGAAAUUAAAAACAGUAGUUUAAUGAUAAAAGAUAAAAGAAUAUACAUAGGAGAGGGAAUAUAAAAGCUGGAAAGUAAAAAGAGUAGGGAUAAUGAUAAAAGGUUUUUUCUCUUUUACAAUUGAAAAGAACAAAAAAGGGGGCUGGAAGGGGCUCUAGUUUCGCUAUAAUACUGGCAGACCUGGACAGAGAAAAAUUGAGAGAUAGAAAGAGAGAGGAGAGGGAAAACAAUCUGAAAGAGGGGGCUUGGGAAUAAAUUUCAGGGGCCACACUUAAAGAAUAUCAUAAGUUUUUUAACAGAAGCAAUCAGUUCUGUUGGUUUCUUUUGCUGGUCCUUCUUGAAUCAGUUCUAGGAAUCAAUCUUUUAAUUCAGUUUAAGAGAUAGAGUUUACAUAGAAAACUGUCCGCAAGUAAAAGAAACAAGAACCUACUAUUUUAUAAAAAGGUUGCGGAUUGAAUGUGACUUCCAGAAUCAUUUCACUUUUUGUUUACUGGAGUCAGUAGUGUUUUCUGGUUGGUUUUCCAGUGGUUUUGGGUUCAGCUGAGACACUCCAGGAUUUUUUUUGGGGUGUUUGUGUUGCUGUUGGUUUAAAAAUUCAAUCCGGGCUUGGUUGAAUGUGUUUCUGGUUGGUAUUGCUGCUGCUGUUUGAGUUUACUAUUGUGCCUAGGCUGUUCAGUUGUUUGAACUACAUUUGAUCCUUGAUGUGAUUUUCUGCUGUGAUUUGCUUCUGCUGAUCUCUUCUUCUCCUUCCUGUUGAUUUCUUAUUUCCAGGUAUACAAUUUGAAUUCACUUUGAUGUAACUGCAGAUAUGAAUGAAAUGAAGCCUUAUUCCAGAAUUCCUAGUUACAGACAAUCAUCUGAUGUAUGCUUGUUUAAUUUUUAAUUUGCUUGAACUGUAUUGAACUGGGAUUUGCAUAAUUAGGACCAUUUUCUAGCUGAUGUGAAUUGCCUAAUGUGUACUGGAUGGAAAGGUUAAUUUCUAUAAAAUGUGAUUAGAUGAAACAUAAUUGGUUCAACUUUGUCAAGUUUGUUUUCUAGUAAUUAAACGUGGUAGUAAAACUGGGUUUUAGGACUGUCAAAUAUGGAUUGGUCUUAGCUGUGAUAUAUUUUAGUGUGUUUGGACUAGUGAAAAGUUUUGAAGUUAACAAUGACUAAGCAGGAAAAAAAAUGUUUUGAAUUCUAGUGAGGUUAACUUUGACGAUUAGUUUAAAUCGUAUUUUCAGUUCGCCUUAGUCUGCCAUAUUCGCCCAAGUUUAAAUUGAUUCCAAAUGAUGUGACAAGAUCGAAAUUACAUAGACCAAUAUCGCAGUUUAUUUGAAUAGAUAAUUAACUAUCGACAUUAUUCGGUUUGAGAGGACAAGGCUAUCCACAACCUGUUUUAAUAAAUUUGGGGCGAGAGAUGUGAUGCACGACCCAGGUCAGUUCUAUUUCCUCUCUUGUUUGGGCCUGGGCCACUGCCUACGUUUGGGCCAGUUUCCUGGUUUGUGAACUGAGAAUCAAUUCACAUUCUUUGGGCUUAUUCUUGAUCCUAAAGACGUUUAGUUUUAAAAUUAUCGUUUUAGGCCAACGACAAAUUGAUUAGGACUUUUCCUUGUUGUUAGAGAUAAAUAAAGUAGAAAAUUAUAGAUUGCUUUAGGUUUGCCUUUUAAAUAAUAAAGUGAGAUAUGCUUAAAUUUCAGGGCCCUCAUAUAUAUAUAUAUAUAUAUAUAAAAUACUUAGACUUCAGGAUGAGCCGUUUAGCAAAUUUCAUGGCCUUCCCAAAAUAAUAACGUGUUAGAUUCUAUAGGUGCGUAUUUUAAUAAUAUUACCUCCCUAAACUCGGGUUCAUGCGACCCAAAUCCAAUUCCCAAAAUAUUGAAUAAAAUAUGUUCCGGAUUGCGGGUGCAUUUCAUGUGACGUAAUCCAAAGAUAUGUUUUAAACGAUGUUCAACUUUCUUUUAAAUUUGAAUAAAAGAGGUUAAAAUUUAAAUUGGCACAUAAGUUACAACAUGCUAUAAAAUCAGAUAAAUAAGCUAAAUAAGACAGUUGAGCAAUCGUGCUAGAACCAUGGAACUCGGGAAUGCCUAACACCUUCACCAGGGAUAACAGAAUUCCUUAUCCUGAUUUCUGGUGCGCAAACUGAUAAAUAUAGUCAUUUUUUUCCUCGAUUCGGGUCGGUGACUUGGGACACCAUAAAUCUCCCAAGUGGAAAUUGUGUAUCUUUAAUAAUAAUUCCUAUAUCGAUUGUCCUAUAAUUGGAAAAACUCCCUUCACCCUUCGCGGGGCGGCCAAAAGGUGGUGUGACAACUCUGGCGACUCUGUUGGGGACCAUACCCAGAACCACUGGUUCAGGGUUAGAAAUAUAGCUUGGAAUAAAUUUUAUGUUUAGCUUUAUCUGAUUUUGUUACAUGAUCUGUGCUUAAUGUGCUAAUUGACCGCUUUUACCGCUUUGAUAUUUCGUGAACUUUAUAUAAACUGUGCCGAAACUCAUCUCCUCUCUGAGUCUUCUAAAUCAUGAAGAAGGGUGCACUUCGUGUGACUUCUUUUCUGUUUAGAGUCAAUCCCGUUUUUAGAAUGAGGUUCUGAUAAGUUGCAAAGCCGGGUUGAGCUUCUGUAUCCCCGGUACGCUACCCCCCCUCGGCUCGAGUUGUCCGCUCGGGUAAGCCACGUCUAAAACAAACACCCAGGUUCUGAACCUAGAAUAACUCAACUUCAUGCCGGAUCCCUAGUAGGAACGCUUAUCUCCAUCAUGUGCAUUUUUGACUCAGGGGACUCAACACAGGGGUUGGGUCCAUCUAGAAAUAGCAACCUGAAACAGAAAAGACCAUCUUGAUACAUCCUACUUGGGUUCUGUGAAUUUAUUUGUUUCAGACCCGCAUGUUGAUCGGCUUCUGAAUCUCGGGAAUGGUAGAAAAUUUUGGAAAUUUGAGAAAAAGAGGAAAAUAGCAAGUGGAGAGUUAGAUGAUUAAUUUAGAAGAAAAAAAACCAGUGUCCAAGUACGGUCGGAACUCUGCCGAAAUUUUGAAAAAAAAAUAUUUUACUUUUUAAAUUGUUUGUUUACCCAAAAAAGCAGAAAGUGUGUAGAAAAAGUUUUUUUAUUUUAGUUUGCUUUGUUUUAAAAAACGGAAAGGAAAUAUAGUUUGUUUUCUAUAAAAGAAAAAGGAAGAAAUAUGUUUGUUUUCAAAAAUCAAAUAGUUUAUUUACCCGAACUAUGCCGGUUUGAUUCUCACAGGAUGUGAGAUACGUAGGCAGCCCUCAUCGGGCCCAACCUCCCCUUUUGCAAAAAUAAAAUAAAAAUAAAAAUUUUAAUUUUAUCAUAAGUAAGUCGGGUGAUGUCGUUUUCGUCAAAUUUAGCCAAAUGUUCCCGAAAGGGACGCCGAAAGGCUGACUUUGCAUAAACGGUCACCUUUGGUCAUUUUUUGAUUUUUGCCCCACACAGCCUUAAAAUCUUCGUCCUUGAGGCGUCGAAAGGACGUGUUCGCAAUAUUGGAUUUUUAUUUUAUUUUUAUUUUUUUUGAAAAAAAACAAAAAUCUCAAAGUUUUAAUUUUUGUCAUAAAUAAGUUGGGUGAUGCCGCUUUUGUCAAAUAUAGUCGAAAGUUCCUGAUAGGGACGCCAGAAGGUUGGCAUUGCAUAAACGGUCACCUUUGUUUUUUUUUUAGAUUUUCGGUCAAUUAACCCACGCAACCCUAGAAUCUUCAUCCCCGAGGCGCUGAAAGGCCGUGUUUGUAAAUAUCUGGUUUUCUAUUUUUUGAAAAACAAGAAAAAGAGAGAAAGAGAAAUAAUAGAAGGUCUCCGAAAAAAUUGAAAGAGGCACAAAUAAAAUAAGCCGGGAUGAUGCAUGCGGUUGGAGCAAAAACAUGUUAGAAAUGGUUAACUGCCAUAGAACAUUGCAUCCCCCAACGUAAAGUUGCAAUUUCUGUUAAAACUCUAACGCUGACAAGUUUGUUAUUUUCCCAAAUUCAUCCAGUUAGUUUGUUAGAGCAUACUCGCACCAUACCAUUAUCAAACAAGAUCAAAAGGGCCCAUAUCAAAAAGCACGACUAGCUCAGACAACAGUGUUGAGUCAGAAAACACAGCAAAUCAGAUGGUGAAGGUGGCAAUGGUAAAAGGGGAAAGGAUGAGGCUGGAAAUGAAUGAAAUAUCAGGACCAGGAGUCCCAUUCAUUUGUUUAUGGGAGCGACUCUCUGUUCCCAUUCUCCACCUAGCGAAGAUAUGGCAAACAAAUAAAGUAGCCCUAUGUUCGGAUCUGACAAUACCAUACCAUAAUCAAAAGGUACAACGGCCCGAGCGACCAGACUUAACAUAAAUGUAGCCACUGGAGCCAUUCUAAAAAGGGAGAAAUUAGCACUACUUGGUGAAAUAGGUUCCCCCCUGUUCUUCGGAUACAAUUCGAUCCUUCUACGGCCAAAUCUCAAUUUGUGGAAAGCCUUCGAUGGCUUCCUUAUGAAAACAUAAAUUUUUAUUUGGGUAUAGACGGUAUCUCUUUAUUCUUCGUGAUAUUGACCUUGUAGCUAGCCUUGGCUAGAGCACAAAAGGGCCUGAACCACCCGUUACUCCUACUCUCCCACCAAAACACACGCUGGAAUACCUUUCCCCCGGCCCUUCAACAAGUUUCCCAAGCCAUCACUACUAUUAGGGAAGAAAUGCCUAUGAUCCCCAAGCUCCACCACCCAAUCAGAACCCUCAUUCACCAAAUAUUCCUGUCUUUGUGGCGGCUCCCAUAGAAACAUUGCAAAGAUCAUCUAGUGAGCUGUUGUUUCAGGCCCACCAUACACAAUAUUAUCCCCCUGAACUCACAUUCAGAGCACCCGAGCCACAUACUUAUAAUCCUCACUUCGAAGUCCUGCCAGAGAUUGAAAAGCCGGCUAAGAGCCCAGAACAAGAUGACGUGAUGCGGAAAUUUAAAAACCUGGAGCAAUGCUUCAGGAACAUGCACGGGUUUGGCAACCGGGUCAGCGUGGCCUACACGGAUCUAUGCCCUUUACUUGACGUCCAAUUGCCGUCAGGGUUGAAGAUGCCCAAGUUCGAUUUAUACGAAGGGCAUGGCGAUCCUAUGGCACAUCCGCGUGGCUUUUGUAACAAGAUGAGAGGAGCAGGGGCAAAGACGAGCUGUUGAUAGCUUACUUUGGCUAAAGCCUGAGUGGGUCGGCACUGGAGUGGUAUACAACACAAGAUCCGGGCAGAUGGUACACCUGGGACGAUAUAGCACAGGCUUUUGCAGGUCACUUCCAGUACAACCUUGAGAUAGUCGCUGACAAUCUCAUAUUGCUAAAUCUUGAGAAGAAGCCCGGGGAGAGCUUCCGUGAAUUUGGGUUCCGAUGGAGAGAACAUGCAGCCAAAGUUGAUCCUCCAAUGAGAAAGGGGGAAAUGGUAGACUACUUCCUGCAGAUGCUAGAGCCAACUUACUUUGGUCACUUGGUGACAUCAAUUGGCACUUCAACGAUGUAGUGAAAAUGGGAGCUAUGAUAGAGGAAGGACUUAAGUCCAAUAAGAUCCUGAGAUACUAGGAAAUUAAGGCACCAACUCAGGCAAUUCAGAGCUGCACGGGAGGUGCGCUUGGAAAGAAAAAGAAGGAAGAAGUUGCCAUAGUUGAGGCAAGCAGUUGGUCCAAGUCCAGCAAACCCUACUACAACCAGCCCAGACCCCGCCAUCCAAAUUAUCCGUAUACCCCAUACAGGCCACCGCAACAUUACUAUCUACCACAAGAACCACACUUCUCCAUCCAUCAAGUCUAGACAUACAAUCCAGCCUCUGGCUCGCCCGCAAUGGCGCACACCGGCUUCACAAAACACAUAUCCACCUACAAAGAAUACAUAUCCUCCACUAAGGGCCUACAAGAACCCUUCAGGGCCUGGUUUCAUUGGGAAUCAGGAUUUCAGAAAUGAAAGGGUACACAGAACAUUCACUGAGUUGGGAGAAACCUACUUGUUCCACAAAUUAAGGCACUUAGGCUUGUUGAUCCCAGAUUGCCAAAUCCCCUUCCCAAAAAUAUGGACCACUCGGUAAGCUGUGAAUAUAGUUCGGGGGCUCCCGGACAUGAUAUAGAGAAAUGUUGGAAGUUGAAACAUGUUCAGACACCCGAGGCACCCAACAUCAAUAAGAACCUGUUGUCGGCACACCAUGAAGCCCACAUGAUCGAGCUAGUACACGAAGGAGGGGAGUUAAAGAAACCCUCAUAAAGAGUGAUGAUGGUCCGUGCCGGUUCGAAAGAGAAGUCGACUAGUGGAAAAGCAGUGGUAUAGUUGGAAAAGGCAGAUGACAAGCUAGUUAUGGUGUUGGGAAAAGGGUCCAGUGGGGCAGAUGUACAGUUUGUGGGGCCUAGGGCCAAUAUCAACUAUUUGACGGUUACUCCUCUUCCCGCCUAGAGAGAGUCUUGGUAGUGGGCUCUGAUUUUUCUUUCUUGUUGUCUGGAUUAUUCAAGAGUUCUAAUCCAGUUGUUUUGUUUUAUUUUGUAUUCGGCAAAAAUGUGAAACUCUGUUAUCCCGCAUUUUAAUAAAGUGAAAGUUUUCUCUUCUUAUUUUGUUUUAAUUUUGUUUUCUUCCUUUUCUCUUUCUCAACAGUUCUCUUCAUAUUGAUUCUAAUGACAUGGCAUGCACGAUGGAUCUUCAACCCAGUCUAAAAAAUCAAUCCCUCUUUCUGAACAGUUCUCUUUAUGCUGGUUCUAAUGACAUGGCAUGCACAACGGAUCUCCAACCUAGUCUAAAAUCAAUCUGAUUCCGAUUUGCAUUGUUGAGUUAUCGCACUACUGUCCGCACUUCAGUAUAUGUAACUCCUUAUUCGUUGAUAUACAGAAAUGAAGCAGUAAUACUAGCAGAAGUUGAAAUUUCGUCCCUCUAGAUUGUUGCUGAGGCUUGGAUUGGUGAUGAUGAAUGGGUCAAAGCCCUAUUGGAGAAGUUAAGCUUAAUUGAUGAAAAGCAAUUGGCACCAGUAUGUCAUGGCUAGUUGUAUCAAAAGAGGAUGGCAAUAGCAUAUAACAAGAAGGCGCGUCCCAGGAAAUUUGAAGCAGUGCAGCAAGUAUUGAAACGGACCCCCCCGCAUCAGGCCAAAGCAACGGGCAAGUUCGCCCCGAAUCGGCAAGGACCAUUCAUUGUGACCAGAGUGCUAUCCAAUGGUGCUUUAUGUGUGAUAGAUGUCGAGGGAAGAUGCAUCGACAUGGAUAUCAAUUUUGACGCAGUCAAGAGAUAUUAUGUGUAACUUCUUUGAUUGUAAUUGUUGUUUGUUGGUUUGUUUGUACUUGGAAUUUAUCGGAGAAUGAAAUGAUGGAGGCAAUUCUUUCUUAUAUCCAAACACUUUUACCUUUGCUUCCCCCUUUAAGCCUUAUUUAUUCUUCCAUAUCCCUCUUUUGGAAUCAUUAAUGAAAAUGAAACCAAAAUAUAUGAAAAAAAAAGAGAAGAAGAGAAGAAAAUAAGAGAAGAGAAGAAAAGAAAAAUAAUAAUAACAAAACAAAAGAAGGUCAUAAGAAAAAGGAAUCUAAGUAAACUACGUUCGACCUGAUUCCUCAAAGAUGAUAUGUAGGCACCUCACGGCUCGGUCAUAUUGUGACAAAGUGUUACAAAAAAUGAAAAAUUCCCCAAGCAAGAAGACUAGGUCAGAAGUUAUCUUUUAAAAAAAAGUUUGAUGCCAAGAGUUGUAAUGUUUUACCCAUUAAAGUUAUUUUUAACUUUGAUACCCUUUUCUUUUAGCCACACACAAAAACCCAUAUUUGAUAUCCGAGAAAGACCUCCUAAUAAGUAUCCAAGAGGUGCCAAGUCAGGAAAAUGAAAGCCAAGAAUAAUGCACUGAUGCAUGACUGGAAGAGGAUCAUGAGCUGAAGGAAUUGACACCCAAAAGAAUCCCCAGUAGAGAGCAUCUUAUCGGUAACACCCCAAUCCCCAGCGGAGAAAGAAAAUAAAAUGAGAGAGUCUUAUCGAUAAAAACCUUCACACGAACCAUAAGGCGACGAAGGCUGAGAGAAACAAAAUGAGAGAGUCUUAUGGUGAAAGCCUUCACGGGCACUAUAAGGCUGCAGGAACUGAGAGAAAUUAAAUGAAAGAGACUUAUUAGUGAAAACCCCUCGAAGGGCACUAUGAGGUGACAAGAUAAGGUUGGCAGAAAGGAUCCGCAUUUGGAAAGGAGUUGGGUACCUGUUUAUCCCCAGCAAAAGGAGGCUAUUAGAAAGAUUGAUUGAUACAAAUAGACUGGGUUGGCUGAUCCGGAAUGCACGAUGUCAUCAUCGGGAUCGGUUAUGCAAUUCAGAUAAGUUCUUUCUCUUUUCUUUUCCCCAGCAUUUGUUCAAAAGGACUUCUUCUUCUUCUUCUUCUUCUAUCUUUUGAAGUUAUCAUUUUUCACUUCUUUGUUUAAAGACUUUUUCCCAGUAGUUUGUUUUUGAGAAAUUUUUUUCAGAGCUUACUACCAAUUGACAAAAUGGUGCAAAGCAGAAUGUGAAAUAGACAUACCGAAGAUAAGGAAAUAAAAUGAAAAUGAAGUUUGUUUCAAAACCAAAUGAGGAAUUGGUAUAGAUUCCAAUAAGACCAAAAAAAAAAUUCAGGGGAAGUAUGGAGAUGAUGGGUCUAUCUGCCCUCGAAUAGGAUAUGAUGGGUCUAUCUGCCCUCGAAUAGGAUAUGAUGGGUCUAUCCACCCUCGAAUAGGAUAUUAUGGGUCUAUCCACCCUCGAAUAGGAUAUGAUAGGUGUAUCCGCCCUCGAAUAAGAUAUAAUGGGUUCAUCCGCACUCGAAUAGGAUAUUUUGGGUUCAUCCGCCCUCGAAUAGGAUAUUUUGGGUUCAUCCACCAUCGAAUAGGAUAUUUUGGGUUCAUCCAUCCUCAAAGAGGAUCUUUUGAGUUCAUCUGCCCUCGAAUAAGAUAUUUUGGGUUCAUCCGCCCUCGAAUAGGAUAUUUUGGGUUGCCCUCGAAUAGCAUAUUUUGGGUUCAUUCGCCCUCGAAUAGGAUAUUAUGGGUCUAUCCACCCUCGAAUAGGAUAUGAUGGGUCUAUCCGCCCUCGAAUAGGAUAUGAUAGGUCUAACCGCUCUCGAAUAGGAUAUUUUGGGUUCAUCCUCCCUCGAAUAGGAUAUUCUGGGUUCAUCCACCCUCGAAUAGGAUAUGAUGGGUCUAUCUGCCCUAGAAUAAGAUAUGAUAGGUCUUUCCACCCUCGAAUAAGAUGGGAUGGGUCUAUCCGCCCUCGAAUAGGAUGGGAUGGGUCUAUCCACCUUCAAAUAGGAUAUGAUGGGUCUAUCCGCCCUCGAAUAGGAUAUGAUGGGUCUAUCCGCCCUCGAAUAGGAUAUGAUGGGUCUAUCCACCCUCGAAUAGUAUAUGAUGGGUCUAUCCACCCUAGAAUAGGAUAUGAUGUGUCUAUCCGCCCUUGAAUAGGUUAUGAUGGGUCUAUCCGCCCUUGAAUAGGAUAUGAUGGGUUCAACCACCCUCGAAUAGGAUAUUGAAUUUAAUCCUUCCUCAACAGAACAUUUAAUUUAUUUCGACCCAAGUGGUCAUGCUUGUAUAAACAUUGCCAAAAUAUAUAUUUCAUAAAUCAUUACCAAAUGCAUUUUAUUUUCAAAGUUAUUGAAGUAGGAGCCCGCCUCUAGAACAGAGGAAUACAUUCAAGAUCAAGUCCGAAGUUAGUAAAGCAGAGCGUUACAACAAAAUACCCCCAACAUAAAAUCCAAUACAGAAUUCAAAAGGAAGUGUACAAGUCAAGCCUAGAAGAAAAGAACCGGAGGAAACACAAGUUGAUAAACAACAAGAGAUGCAAGAGCAAGCUGAAGAUCUAGAUAAGAGUUUGUAAUUCAUAAUUUAGUCUAGCUUCUUGUUUCUUUUAGCAAUGGUGUAAUAAGGAGGUCGGAAAGCAGUAGUAAUAGCAUGCAGCAGCAGUAACAGAAAAUAUUGCAGUCCCACGGUAGUCCCAGCUACCAAAACUUCCCGAUUUACAUUGAAUUGAUUCCCUUUUAGCAUGGGAUAUGUAGGAAAUCUUUGAAGCAGAGGUUCGGUCGAAUAUUUCGAAAAAUGCUUCAUGCGGAGUACUCAAACGGGCAAAAAUCGCUCGUAUCCGCUCACUUUAUCUUUGCAUGAAAACUCUUCGUGUUUUCGGACAAAGAGGGCCAGCUGUGAGCACAUGAUUUUUGCUCUAUAUGAGAAUUACUCCCAGAAAAUUCAAAAUAAAACAAUUUCUUUGUUUGUUUGCAAUUGUUGUGAAUUUUGUGUUGCUUUCUUGUAAUGCAUUUGUCUGUGCAUGUUUAUUUGUUAAAUUAAUUAAAUUACAAAAAUAUGUCACAUUUGUAUUUAUGAUUUAAGUUUGAAAUUAUGAGUAAUUAAGUUUGUUUUACAAGAAUGAAAAUCACAAAAAUAUGCAUUUUUUGUAUUUUUAGUAUUUAAUGUCCAAAUUGUGUGAUUGUGUUUUAAUUGUCAUUUAAUUUUGUGUGAUAAUCAUUGUUAAGGGUUAAUUAGUAUUUUCUAGGCUAAUUUUUAUUUUUACUAUUCAAUUUAGAAUUAUGGUAAUUAUGAAUUAAAAAGAAAAUGAAAGAGAAUGGAAGAAACGAUGAAGAAUGAGAUGAAACUUGGACUAGGCCAAUUUUUUGAGAUUAAAAUCAAGCUCAAAUCACCUCUUUACCCAGGCACAAUCUAAACACCCCUUAUCCAGUCCGAUCCGCCCCACCCUGUUACUAAAAGACGAUACCGUUUGGUUGUUAAUUGAUCCUAGUCAUCUAAAAUAAUUAGAUCAGUGGCCAGGAUUUGAUCCCCCAAUUUCAGUUACCCCCAAACCCUUACCCCAAUUUUAUUUACCAAUAAUAACCCCACCCCUUCGUUUCUCUCUCGAACAAACCAGACGAUCCCAGCGAAACCCUAGCGCCGCCCUCUAUUUCACUGCCCAAAAACCCGGCGGCCAGUGCUCCGUUCAAGGCCAAAAUGACACCCCAGAACCACCUUGACCCCCCCUCGAAAUCCACACUCGUUUUUCUUCGAAUCACCACCGAGCCCUUCGAAUAUUAGAUCGAAUAUUUGUUCUGGAACCUCUAGUUCAUCUAUUUGACCCCAAAGUCACACUAGUCCACCUCCUGACCUCCCUCGUUCCUAAGACAUCCUUGGUUUGGCUGGAAUCGUGCUAGAACUGUUCGAAUCCCAAAUCGAACCAAAAAACCCUAAUGAGACCAAAACUGGAACCUGUCCGAGAUUAAGGGGAUUUAAGGUUAUUAAUCGACCUUCGUCGAGUUAUCAAUCAAGAACAGUCGAUUAAGGUCCACUUGACCCCAAAAGUUCGAAGCAGAGCUCAAGUCUAGUUCGUUUGUUUCUUAUUUUUGCUAAGCUAUUUUUCCUCCUUCUCUUCUUGUUUUAUUUUCUUCUUGUUAUUAUGCAUAAACUGGUUGGAAUCGAGUUUUGUUCAUCACUCUUCUUCUUCUCCAGUUAGACCUUUUAUUUGGUCGAAUUCGUCUGUUCAUUUAAGUGUAUGUUAUAAGCUAUAUAGUGUAUUUGAAUAAUUUUGUCAAAUAGUAAGUUUAUAAGUUCUUUGUUUUUGUCAAUACAACUCGAAUCCUGUGUGUCUGUUUGAUUCUGUUUGUUUGUUGUCAAUUGUAUGUGUUAUAAACUCUGCAAUCGAUUAGUUAAAUAUCGUCGAUUAAGUCUGUUUGAAAGAUAGAAGAAGCUUGAUAAUAAUCCAUUUUUGGUCAUUCAGCAUGAUUACCAUCCUACUCCUUUCUGUUCUGAUUUCUGUGAUUGAAAUGAACCUGAUCUUUAUAUUUAUUCACCUGAACAUCAUUCAUUGACGCUUUCUGCUUGAAUCACUGCCUGAAUUAAGACUAGGAUUGGUUAUAGCUGUGUAACGAUUUGGUAAUUAGUAAUCAGUGUUAGUUAUAUUUUAUAGAGGUUUAAAUAUAGAUUGAUGAAGUUUUGAAUCAGGGCAGUAACAGUAGGAUUCAGGGGUAACCUAGGGGUUGGCUAAGCUACUUUACUGAUGGAAAUUAAAAAUAGUAGUUUAAUGAUAAAAGCUAAAAGAAUAUACAUAGGAGAGUGAAUAUAGAAGCUGGAAAGUAAAAAUAGUAGGGGUAAUGAUAAAAGGUUUUUUUUCUUUUACAAUUGAAAAAGAAAAACAAAGGGGGCUGAAAUGGGCUCUAGCUUGGCUAUAAAUACUAGCAGACCUGGACAGAGAAAAAUUCAGAGAUAGAAAGAGAGAGGAGAGGGAAAACAAUCUGAAAGAGGGGGCUUGUGAAUCAAUUUCAGGGGUCACACUUAAAAAAAUCAUAAGUUUUUUAACAGAAGCAAUCAGUUCUCUUGGUUUCUUUUGCUGGUCCUUAUUGAAUCAAUUCUAGGGAUCAAUCUUUUGAUUCAUUUUUAGAGAUAGAGUUUACAUAGAAAGUUGUUUAAAAGAAAAGAAAUAAGAACCUAAUGUUUCAUCAAAAGGUUGCGGGUUGAUUCUGACUUCCAGAAUUAUUUCACAUUUUCCAGUUUUAGCUGAGCUUGGGUUCACUGAAGUCUGUAGUGUUUUCUAGUUGGUUUUCCAGUGUUUUUGUGUUCAGUUGAGACACUCCAUGGUUUGUAUUGGGGUGUUUGCGUUGCUGUUGGUUUAAAAAUUCAUUCCGGGCUUGGUUGAGUGUAUUUCUGGUUUGGUAUUGUUGCUGCUGUUUGAGUUUACAAUUGUUCCUGGGCUGUUCAGUUGUUUGAACUACAUUUGAUCCUUGCUGUCAUUUGAUGCUGCUAUCUGCUGCUGCUGGUCUCUUCUUCUCCUUCCUGUUGAUUUCUGAUUUCCAUGUAUACAAUUUGAAUUCACCUUGAUGUAAGUGCAGAUUUGAAUGAAAUGAAGCCUUAUUCCAGAAGUCCUCGUUACAAAAACUCAUCUAAUGUAUGCUUGUUUACGUUUUAAUUUGUAGGAACUUUAUUGAUAUAGGAUUUGUUUAAUUAGGAACAUUUUGUAGCUAAUGUGAAUUGCCUAAUUUGUACUGGACGAAAAGAUUAAUUUCUAUAUUAUCUGAUUAGCUGAAACAAAGUUGAUUCAGCUUAGUGAAGUUUGUUUUCUAGUAAUUAAACAUGGUAGUAAAAUUGGGUAUUAGGACUGUCAAAUAUGGAUUGGUCUUAGCUGUGAUGUAUUCUAGUGUGUUUGGACUAGUGAAAAGUUUUGAAGUUAAAAAUGGCUAAGCAGAAAAAAAAAUGUUUUCAAUUCUAUUGAGGUUAACUGAGAUAAUUAGUUCAAAUUGUAUGUUCAGUUCGCCUUAGUCUGCCAUAUUCGCCCAAGUUUAAAUUUAUUCCGAAUGAAGUGACAAGAUUGAAAUUCCAUCGAUCAAUAUCAUUGUUAAUUUGUAUAGAUAAUUAAUUGUCGACAUUAUUCGGUUCGAGAGGACAAGGUUGUUCACAGCCUGGUUUAAUAUGUUUGGGGUGAGAGUUGUGAUGCAUGUCCCAAGUCAAUUCUGUUUUCCUCUGUUGUUUGGGCGUGGGCCACUUCCUACGUUUGGGCCAGUUUCCAUGUUUGUGAACUGAGAAUCAAUUCAUAUUCUUUGGGCUUAUUCUUGAUCCUAAAGACGUUUAGUUUUAAAACUAUCGUUUUAGGCCAACAACAAAUUGAUUAGGACUUUUCCUUGUUGUUAGAGAUAAAUAAAGUAGAAAAUUAUAGAUUGCUUUAGGUUUGCCUUUCAAUAAUAAAGUGAGAUGAGCCUCGCCAAACAAAAAUUUCUAAAUUACGGGGCCCUUAUAUAUAUAUACAUAUAUAUAUAUAUAUAUAUAUAUGUAUAUAUAUAUAUAUGUAUAUAUAUGUAUAUGUAUAUANNNNNNNNNNNNNNNNNNNNNNNNNNNNNNNNNNNNNNNNNNNNNNNNNNNNNNNNNNNNNNNNNNNNNNNNNNNNNNNNNNNNNNNNNNNNNNNNNNNNNNNNNNNNNNNNNNNNNNNNNNNNNNNNNNNNNNNNNNNNNNNNNNNNNNNNNNNNNNNNNNNUAUAUAUAUAUAUAUAUAUAUAUAUUUAUAUGUAUAUAUAUAUAUAUAUUAAAAAUCCUUAGCCUUCAGGAUGAGUCGUUUAGAAAAUUUCAUGGCCUUCCCAAAAUAAUAACGUGUUAGAUUCUAUUGGUGCGUAUUUUAAUAAUAUUACCUCCCUAAAUUCGGGUGUGAAUUUCAUGUGACCCAAAUCCAAAUCCCAAAACAUUGAAUAGAAUAUGUUCCGGAUUGCGGGUGCAUUUCAUGUGAACUUUCUUUUAAAUGUGAAUAAAAGCGGUUAAAAGUUAAAAUUGGCACAUAAGUUACAACACGCUAUAAAAUCAUAUAAAUAAGCUAAAUACGACAUUUGAGCGACCGUGCUAGAACCACGAAACUCGGGAAUGCCUAACACCUUCUCCCGGGUUAACAAAAUUUCUUAUCCGAAUUUCUGGUGCGCGGACUGUUAUGAUGGCAACAUUCUUUUCCUUCAUUCUGGAUUAAAAUCGGUGACUUGAGACACCACAAAUCUCCCAAGUGGAGACUCUGAAUCUUUAAUAAUAAAUCUCGUUCCGAUUGUCCUUUAAUUGGAAAAAACUCCCUUCACCCUUCGCGGGGCGGCCAAAAGGAGGUGUGAAAACAGAUUAGCAAUCACAUUCCGACCCAGAUUCAAAUAAGCCAAGCAUGCAUAUUAUCUAUUAUUCGGGUUCAGAUCAUUUCCCUACAGGAGGUUUUAGUUCCUUUCCUCGUUGAGGAUGAUGGGCCAAUAACUUUGAUAUAAACUAGGAUUUAUCCAAGAUGUACACGGCACAACCCCCCCGGGCCUUUCACUGGGAAAGAGUUCCACUUAUAUCUUUAUGUACAAAAUUAUAUCUUUUUUUUAACCUUUUAUUCAUUAGGGAGAUAGAAUUUCUUAAUAUAUACAGACUUCGAACAAAAGUUAUUUAUGUGAACUUGAAUCAAGCCUCUACGUCUGCCCGUGUCGUUAUACAAUAGAGAUAUAAGAUACAUUUAUGCACCAUACCCAUCUUGUAUAGGGUAAAAUUUGGCUCUUAACGCCCUCACGCCGAGUGGGCACGUCCAUAUGAUAAGGUCGACCUAAGUAAGGGCACGACUCAGUUGGUAAAGUAGAAGCGACGUAUUUUAGUGCCAAACGUCUUUACUGAGUGGAAGCCACCAACUUUUGUACUUUUUGAUUACUUCGAGGAGGGUCUCCUACUAUUUAAAUGAGACCUUCACAUUGUAAUAGGCAUCAUGAUUAUUCUCUGAUAAUACAACUUCUUUCUCUAUCUCUAUCUCUUUCUUGAUCUUCAACAAUUGCUUCUCUCUUAAGCUAAGUUUAGUGUCUUCAUACUUUCAGAUCUACAACGAUCUCAACAUGAUAACCAUCUUUAGGUCUCAUUAUAUUUGAUUACGAUUUACCCCUUUACAUUUUUGAUUGUUUUUAAGCUUAUAAAGUGCGAAUAUAAUUUUGAGCUAAACAAUUUGGUGCCGUCUGUAGGGAUUUCGGGAAGCAAAACCACAGUUUGCACCUAGAGAACCAUCGAAAACCCCUCUCUACAAUACACAAACGAAAGAUGGCUGACAACAAUGCAAGAAUGAAAGCGGUAGCAGAUGUUGCAAUCAACGUCAUCGGUCCUCUCAAUGAAGCUGGUGAAGAGGGUAUUUCGAUUGCAACCCCUAGCACCACAACAAGCGGGGAAAUCCCACCUCUCCCACCUGAAGAUCUAACGAUCUUGCGGGAAAAGGGCGCUUCUACAUCUGCAACUGAAGAAGCACCCCCAGAGGUCAGGAAACUACUGGAAGAGGUGUUAACGAGUACUCUAAGUGGCUUGGUUAAAAAGUCACCCUAAAACAACGUCAGAUGCAUGUCAAUAGCAAACCUUGCUGCGGUUGAAGGUGAUACUCGAAGAAUGGUUAACGAGUACUCUAAGUGGCUUGGUUAAAAAGUCACCCCAAAAUAACAUCAGAUGCGUGCCAACAUAAGACCUUGCUGCAGCUGAACGUGAACCCGAGAUCGUACGAGCAAACAACGUGCUCAUCGAUACUCGGACCAGCGGUGGCACGCUCAUAGCCAUCCUCAAGAAGAUGGAGCAAAUGGAAAACGAAAACAAGUCACUUCGUGACCAGGUGAAGGAACAUAGGGCGAGGGUAGACAAGAUCCCUGGUGCUCCCAAGCAGCUGCCGAAGCGUGACAUGGGGAGGUUUGUUGAACAACCUUACGCGGAAGAGGCUGCACCGUACUCCAUCCCAAAAACCUUCAAGAUGCCUCCUUAUUUAAGAGUGUACGAUGGAACUACAGAUCCCGAGGAUCAUCUGAUCCACUACAUAAUGGCUAUAAAAGGUAACAACCUGUCGAAGGAACAGGUACCCUCCGUGCUGCUGAAGAUGUUUGGCGAAACACUAAUAGGAGGAGAAAUAAACUGGUACUCCUAGCUACCGGCCAAGAUCAUUUCUAUGUUCGAGGAAAUGGUGGACAAGUAUGUCACCACCCAUGCAGGAGCAAAGAAAGCAGAAGCGAGCGUCAACGACAUCUUCGCUGUUCGAAAAACCAUAAGAGAAAGACUCAGGGACUUCCUAGCCAGGUUUAACAGAGUAAGGAUCAGCCUACCAAACGUGUCGGAAGUCAUGGCGGUUGCCGCUUUUCAGAAUAAGUUAAGCAGGGAUGGCUUGAGGUCAACAAAAAAUAACUAAGUCGCCUCAUAAAGGAUCCCCCCACCAUGUGGGAAUAAAUCCACAACGCUUACUGCACUGAGGUACGUGCAGAUGAGAACGAACUCAACGGGCCGACCCAACAUUUAACAACAAUUCACCCAGAAAUCAGGAGGGACCGACGUAACGAAGGGCAAUGGGAACAAGUCCCACAUCCCAAUAGGGAGAGCCACCAACCCUAUAUUAUAUCAUCUCACCCACCGCCACCCAGGCAUGCGAAUGCACUUCAACGACAUGUCGCUCUAUUACAAAACAAUAGAGGUGUGCCACCUUUAUUAUCUGCCCAUAAAUUUUGUGUGUCCCCUUCACAGAUAGUGUAUGCACUUGAGAAGCUGGGCAACAAGGUGCAAUGGCUUGUACAAGUUCCACCAGGAACGAGGACACAAAACCGAAGACUGUAUAGGCCUACGACAAGAGGUGGUCAUGAUGUUCAACCAAGGGUUCCUGAGAGAGUUACUUAGUGACAAAGGAAAAAUCAAUUUUGCACGAGGAUGGGAACAACCCCACGGGCCACCAAAGCCACCUUCACCGACACACAUGAUCAACAUGAUCAUCAGAGACGGUGACGACUCGGUGAUCAACCACGUCAAAUUCACCACUACGCACGAGUUGAAGAAAACCAUCGCCCACGAACGGUACUCCGAAGAUAGUAUCACCAUCGAUAAGUUCGAUGCUAAUGGUUUGUCUUUUCCUCAUUACGAUGCAUUAGUUAUCACAUUACUUAUCGCAGAUACGACUGUAAAAAGAAUCAUGGUUGAUGACGGUAGCGGCGCUUGUAUUAUCCAAUCGAGGUCCUCGUACUAAUGGGACUCGAGGAUAAUAUAAUACCACGCUGCAUAACACUAACUGGUUUCAAUAAUGCGGUAGAACGAACCUCCGGGGAGAUAUCACUACCCGUCCUAGAAGGAGGGGUCACGCUGGAAACAACUUUCCGCGUGAUGAACCUGGAAACGACAUACAACGCCAUCAUCGAACGAUCGUGGAUACACGCUAUGAGAACAAUCCCGUCGAGCUUCUAUCAAAUGAUAUAAUUUCCCCCCUUGGGGAGUAUUCAUCAUUGGAGGCGAGCCUCGCACCGCUCAAGAAUGCUAUAAAAUAGCUCAAGACUGCACCCACACCCAACAACUUAAAGGGGCGAGCGCAGAUGCAUAGCAAUCAGAUAUGUCGAGGACUAAAGUCUAUCCAACAGAGAACGCCAUUAGAGACCCUGAUACCAUAGAAGCCUGCAAGGCCACGGUUGAAGACCUAGACCCAGUCCAACUGGACAAUGACGACCCUACAAAGAAAGCCUACAUCGGGCACGGCCUCUCAAAUCCAAGUAAGUAUCGUGAAUUUUUAUUUAACCAUGCAGGUCUUUUUACUUUUUCCCAUUCAGAUAUUCCAUGGAUCCCGCGAGAAAUCGCCACUCACAAGCUGAACGUCGACCCAUUACACCCGCCCGUCCGACAAAUGAGAAGAAAAUUCAACGCCGCUAUCAACGAAGCGGUCAGCGAGGAAGUGGACAAACUUCUGGCCAACUGCUCCAUCAGGAAAUCAAAGUACCCUCAAUGGGUCGCCAAUGUCGUCAUGGUUAAAACGAAAAAUGGGAAGUGGAGAAUGUGUGUGGACUUCACCGACUUGAACAAGGCAUGCUCGGAAGAUUCUUUCCCACUGCCCCACAUUGAUCAGCUGAUAGACAAUACCGCAAGGCAUGAGCUACUAUGUUUCAUAGACGCAUACUCUGACUACAACUAAAUCAUGAUGGCCGAGGAGGAUCAGGAAAAAACAACUUUCAUCACCUACCAGAGGACAUAUUGCUACAAGGUGAUGCCCUUCGGGCUCAAAAAUGCAGGAGCCUCGUACCAAAGGCUAGUCACCAGGAUGUUCAAAGAGCAUCUUGGUAAGACCAUGGAAGUCUAUAUUGACGAUAUGCUGGUAAAAUCAGCAAAGAAAGAAGACCACAUCAGCCACCUAAAAGAGGCCGUCGAGAUGCUAAGGAGGUGCAGGAUGAAGUUGAACCCCGGGAAAUGCGCCUUCGGUGUGGCCUCAGGAAAAUUCUUAGGGUUUCUCAUAUCACAAAGAGGCAUCGAGGUCAACCCAGACCGGAUCAAGGCGAUAGGCGCAAUACCUGAGGUGCUAAGUAGCAAGAAACAAGUACAGAAGCUGAUAGUGUGUAUAGCCGCCCUAUCCAGAUUCAUCUCACGGUCAUCCGAUAGGUGCCAUAAAUUUUUUUAAUGUGCUGAAAAAAGGCCAAGGGCUACAGUGGAACGAGGAAUGCAUCGAAGCCUUGAGAAAGCUGAAGGUGUACUUGUCUCCACCGCCCCUGCUGGUCAAGGCGAACCCCUGCUGGUGUAUCUGGCCGUGUCUGAGGUUACUGUUAGCGCCAUCCUAGUUCGCAAAAGCAAGGGUACACAAUCCCCUAUCUACUACAUUAGCAAAACCUUAGUGGAUGGCGAAACAUCGCACCCACAUGUUGAGAGGUUGGCACUAGUAGUAGCUUCACGGAAGCUACGGUCCUAUUUUCAAUGCCAACCCAUAAAAGUGGUAAUGACCUUCCAUUAAGGAGCGUCUUACACAAGCCUCAAUUAUUAGGCCGGCUCACCAGAUGGGCCAUUGAGCUCAGCGAGCACGACAUUUCUAUCUCCCAAGAACCGCCAUCAAGUCUCAAGUUCUAGCCGAUUUAAUAGCCGACUUUAGCAUAGAGAUCCUGCCAAAAGAAGAACUUGAGGCACAACAUACCUCUACCAAUAACAACCUAUGGUUCCUCUACACUGACGGUGCUGCCAAUGCAUCAGGAUCAUGAUUGGGACUCAUUCUCGAGGUUCCCACGGGAGGAAAAAUUUGCUAGUCCGUACGAUGCCCUAAAAUGACUAAUAACGAGGCCGCGUAUGAGGCCAUUAUUGCAGGUAUGAAAUUGGACAUUAAAUAUGGGCUCGCCGACUCAUCCUUCACUCCGAUUCUCAACUCGUAGUAAACCAAGUCACUGGGACUUACCAAAUCAAAGAACAAAGAUAGCAAAAAUACCAGUCGCAAAUCCAUAGGGUAAUGGUUGGUUUAAAUGAAUGCCACCUCGAACAGAUUUCGAGGUCACGAAAUACCGAAGCAGACGGUCUAGCGAAGCUGGCUACGACCACUAAAAUCUUCAACAAAGAAAGCGUGGUCACCCCUUCCACUCUGCCAUUGAUCAAACUGUGGUUAUCUCUUUAAAUUUGACUUUGGAAUGGCAUAACAAGUUUGUAUCCUAUCUGCAGAACGGAACGCUACCACUUGACAAAAAACAGGCAAAGAAACUCCGCGUACAAGCUGCCCGGUAUUGCCUAAUAAACAAUGACCUCUACAAAAGAAUGUUUGGCGGACCCUUGGACAAGUGCCUGGGGCCGCACCAAACAAGUCCGGCACUCAAAAAUGUGCACAGGGGCCACUCCGGCACCCAUACAGGUAAUCGCGCCCUCAUACGAUGCAUUAUACAGGUUGGCUACUACUGUCCCACCAUGAAGAAGGAGGUAGCAGAAUACGUUCGCCGAUCUGAACAAUGCCAAAAAUACGCCCCCAUGAUACACCAACCAGGAGCACCCCUCCAUUCAAUCACCUCCCCAUGGCCUUUCAUCAAAUGGGGAAUGGACAUAGUUGGCCCCCUAUCCAUAGGACGGGGAAAGGUACGACUUGUAACUGGCUAUUUCUCUAAGUGGGUGGAAGAAUGUGUAUGUGCAUAAAUACGCGAACACAAGGUGAUCACCUUCAUAUGGAAAAAUAUUAUAUGCCGCUUCGGCAUCCCCAAAGAAAUCAGUUGUGAAAAGAUACGACAGUUCAUCGGUCAAAAAAUGCCCGAACUCUUCGAGAAAUGGCGCAUCAAGAGGAUAAUUUCCAUGCCAUAUCGCCCCGCCGCUAACGGCCAAGCAGAAUCCUCUAACAAAGCAAUAUUAAACAUACUGAAGAAGAAGCUCGAGGACGCCAAAGGGCUAUGGCCCGAGCUGCUGUCCGAAGUGUUGUGGGCGCACAAGACCACACCCAAAUCAAGCUGGGUGAAACAACGGACAACAGUUCAUCGGUCAAAAAAUGAUCAAAUUCUUUGAGAAAUGGCGUAUCAAAAGGAUAAUUUCUACGCUGUAUCACCCUUCCUCUAACGGCCAGGAAAAAUCCUCCAACAAAAUAAUAUUAAACAUACUAAAGAAGAAGCUCGAGGAUGCCAAAGGGUUAUGGCCCGAGCUGCUACCCGAAGUGUUUUGGGAGCACAUGACCACACCCAAAUCCAGCACAGGGAACACACCAUACUCGCUAGUCUACAGAACCGACGCGGUCAUACCCGUCGAGGUCGGCGAACCAAGCCUAAGGUAUUCACACACCAGUGGAACAUUAAAUGACACAAACAUGCUUCAAGACUUCGCCGAAGUUGAGGAAAGGAGAGAAAUGGCCCACAUCAAAAUGGUGGCCCAAAAAUAACAGGUCGAGAGAUACUAAAACAAGAGGGCCAAGAUAAGACCACUCAAAGUGGGAGACUAUGUCCUCAAAGCCAAGACAUAGGUAUCCAAAGACCCAAGUGACGAAAAAUUGGACAUUGGUAUCCAAAGACCCAUGUGACGGAAAAUUGAGUACCAACUGGGAAGGGCCCUACAAAAUCACAGCAAUAGCCAGCAAAGGAGCAUUCCAGUUGGAAAAAAUGGAAGGAAAAACGCUCCAAAAGAACUGGAACGUCGCCCACCUAAAGUAUUUCCACUUCUGAAAGGCAUCUUCCGAGUCGUACUCUUUUUACCUUACCCGAGUUUUUUCCAAUUGGGUUUUCUUGAGAAGGUUUUUAAUUAAUCGGCAAAGGAGACAAUUGGAAAUAUUUGCGGCACAGGUUUACCAUAUCAGCCUCUCCAUACGACCUCCAGGCCGACAUGAUAAAGGGACUGGACUAGCUUGAUCUCAAGUGUAUGAAAGGCUACGACCAUUUUCAAUGUAUGAAGGGCUACGGCCAUCUCCAAUGUAUGAAAGGCUACGUCCAUCUACAAUGAAUAAACGGUUAAGGACAUCUCCAAUGUAUAAAAGGCUACAGUCAUCUACAAUGUAUAAAUGUCAACAACCGUCUCCCGUAUAUAAAUGGCUACGACCAUCCCCAAUGCGCAAAUGGCCAAGGCCAUCAAUAAGUUAUGACCAAAGGUCAUCGACUUCAUCAUGGCUAAGGCCAUUACCGCCAACAGUCGACCUAGUUCGACUACGGCAAGCAAACAAUUCGACAACAGUAGAAAUCAACCAUAUGGCCAAGGCCAUCAACAAGCUAUGACCAAAGGUCAUCGACUUCAUUAUGGCUAAGGCCAUCACCGCCAAAAGUCGACCUAGUUCGUAUAUGGCAAGCAAAUAAUUCGACGACAGUCGAAAUCAACCAUAUGGCUAAGGCCAUCAACAAGCUAUGACCAAAGGACAUCGACUUCAUCAUGGUUAAGGCCAUCACCGCCAACAGUCGACCUAGUUCGACUACGGUAAGAAAAUAAUAGGACAAUUAAAAUCAACCAUAUGGCCAAGGCCAUAAACAAGCUAUGAUUAAAGGUCAUCGACUUCAUCAUGGCUAAGGCCAUUACCGCCAACAGUCGACCUAGUUCGACUUUGGCAUGGAAAUAAUUCGACGACACUGAAACUCAACCAUAUGCCCAAGGCCAUAAAAAAGUUAUGAUCAAAGGUCAUCGACUUCAUCAUGGCUAAGGCCAUCACCGCCAAUGGUCGACCUAGUUCAACUACGGCAAGCAAAUAAUUCGACGUCAGUUGAAAUCAACCAUAUGGCCAAGGCCAUCAAAAAGCUAUGAACAAAGGUCAUCGACUUCAUCAUGGCUAAGGCCAUCACCGCCAACAGUCGACCUAGUAUGACUACGGCAAGCAAAUAAUUCGACGAUAGUCGAAAUAAACCAUAUGGACAAGGCCAUCAACAAGCUAUGACCAAAGGACAUCGAAUUCAUCAUGGCUAAGGCUAUCACUGCCAACGGGCGACCUAGUUAGGCUACGUCAAGCAAAUGAUUCAACAACAGUCGAAAUCAACCAUAUGGCCAAGGCCAUCUAUAAGUUAUGACCAAAGAUCAUCGACUUUAUCAUGGCCAAGGCCAUCGCAACCAACAGUUGACCUAGUUCUACUAUGACAAGCAAAUGACGAUGACAAUCAGUCACCUAUAUGGCCAAAUUUCAAAGCCGUCGACUCCAUCAAGACUAAGGUCGUUAAUCUAUGUCUGGCUAAGGCCAUCGGCUCCAUCGAGACUAAGGUCAUUUAUCUAAAUCCGGCUAAGGUCGUCAACGCCGGUUGUCGACCUAGUUCGGCUAAGACAAAAAAGUAAUUUGACGACAAUAGAAACUACCCAUACCGACCUAGCCUAAACUACAGUGGGAAGCACGGAAGCAGCAAUCAGAAACACAUUAAAAGCUCUAAGGAACAAAAGAAGAACAACAAUAGCAAAAAGUCGUAUUCCAUUAUCUCCACUAGUUAUAUACAUCUGACCUUAGAAAAAGGCCCUAUUUACACAAAAAUAUAUAUACAAAGUCUCAAGAGCCUUCACUGCUCCGCCCAUCACGACUCGCCUCAUCGCCAUUUGGUCAUUGCCAUCUCCAGGCUUAUAAGUAUUAGAAAUCCAUGAACUGGAGUCCGAAAGGUUGACGUCCUUAGAGUUACAUCGCUCCCUACUUGGCGAAUCGGAGCUGUAAUCGGCCGCUUCAUGGGCAAUACGGGCUAAGUGUCGUUGCCUUUCGACUUCCGCCUCAGAAGCCCGACCUGCCACCAAGAACUCCUUAAAUACGACCAACCUGACAUCAUGGUACACCCAGAUCUCAUGCGCAUCAGGAUGCACAAUGUCUUGUGGGGAAGUUCGCCUGAGGACUUCAACCUCGGCCAUCCUAGCAUCAAGCUCGACUGUAAGGCCCAUGACCUGGGUCCGCAGUUUCACAACCUCCGCCGCUAUCCCACUGCUUAUCUCAAAUUCCUCCUCUUUUAACUGAAGGAGAGUCUCCAGCUCGAUGUUUCGAGCCAAAGCAGUCAUCAGCUGCUCAUCAUCUUCCUCCAGCUCGGCCACUCUCUUCUUCAACAGAGCUUUCGAUUCCCCAAGACCCUUAUAGAACAUCCAAAACUGAGGGCCCUGCUUGAGUGCAUCUACCAAUGCCCUAAUGCUUGGCAUGAGACUCCUUGUAUUUAUUCGCCAUUUUAUUGAAAGUGGCCGCCUUUGUUUGUUCACACCACCUCCUCUAUACCUCAAAGAUGAGGGUCUAAAAAUAAGAGAGGAAACACGUUAGUAUGUACCAAAGUUGAUUUUAUGACUCAUAAAAGAAAAAAUAAAGGCUACCUGCAAAGCUGCGCCGGUGAUACGCCUCGACAAAUCCACGUUAUUAACGCUUUUUAGCGUUUCAUGCUCCGCUGCCGCACAUAACAAGGUCAUGUCCGCUGCGGCUUGCUCUUUGUCUUCUAACAAAUUAUACCCGCAAGGGAUCACAAUUCAGCAAGUAGACCUGCCCUUCCUCAUCUCCACGCGGGCUGAGCCCCCUGAGCCUGUCCUCUUAAUUUCCACGCCCGCUCCCCUAACUGCAGAAGAUGACCCGCCUUCUGGGGCAUGGGCUGAGCGGACAGCGGUGGCUGUUCCCCGAGGGGCCAAUUUCCCUGAAUGAAUGGCCUCAUCCAUAAAAACUAGCCUCGGCUCUCGGUGGGGCUGACUAGGCCUCACGCCCUCAGUCACAAUUCCCUUGCCGGUAAUCAGUCACCACUUGUUUCUCUCUUUCGGCUCUUCACCUUCAGAGGUUUCCUCAGGUGGAGCGGCUUCAAGCACCGAGAUAGGCACGACCUCACGCGUCAUUAAUGGUAUCACCUCAGGUGCAGCCACCAAAGCAGCCCCCUACUAUGAGGUCGAAUGGGCGCUGUCUCUAGGCGAGCCUCCCAUGAAUAUAUCUUCCCCAAUUGGAGUCAGACUCUGCCCUAGAUGGGACAGCUGUGCUUUUCUUCAUCUUUGCCUUUGUAGAAGCGCCCCGACCUGCCAAAUGAGAGUACAUUGAAUAAAGGGGUCUCCAAGCCAAAUAAAAAGGAAAGAGAAAAGAACAGGAAAGAUUGUUACUAGUUGGGCAUACAAUCUACGAAACUCAGCCCACGUACUGUAUUUUUCUGCAUACGGUAUCAACUCCGCUUCCCACGACCUAAUGUCGUCAAUGGGACGAGGCGGGCGAGACACCACCACAAAAGGAAGGAAAGUAAAUCAGAAAGAUUGAUCGGUAAAAAACAAAGCGUCACAAAAUCACGCACAAAGAUACUUACAUCCCGAGUUCCACGUCUCCGAAAACCCAUCGGGGUUGGAUACCAGUUGCCUCAUCCUAAUGUAAAAGUAUUUGUGCCAGAAGUUAUGGUUAUCCUUAUCGUCAGCCCUCACCAUGAAGCUCUUUUUACCACGGCUCCUCAAUUGGAGCAUGGUACCUCUCAUGUAGCUAGGGCUGAACAUCUGCAGCAGGUGAUGAAUAGAAACUAUGUUCCCGACCUUGCCCGCAAACGUGGUGAGAAUUUCGGCACACUUUCAGGGCAUACGGUGUGAGUUAAGCCGGGCACACAUGGUCGAUCUCCGAAAACCCAUCGGGGUUGGAUACCAGUUGCCUCAUCCUAAUGUAAAAGUAUUUGUGCCAGAAGUUAUGGUUAUCCUUAUCGUCAGCCCUCACCAUGAAGCUCUUUUUACCACGGCUCCUCAAUUGGAGCAUGGUACCUCUCAUGUAGCUAGGGCUGAACAUCUUCAGCAGGUGAUGAAUAGAAACGACAUUUCAGGCCUCGCCCGCAAGCGUGUUGAGAAUUCGACACAUCUUCAGGGCAUAAGGUGUGAGCUGAGCCAGACACACGUGAUUAAAAUGUCAAAGUUCCUCCGCUAGAGGGUUAAGCGAAAAGUUGUAUCCGAUCUUUUCCGCAUAUUCGUAAAACAUACAGACCUCGGGCCUAUGCACAUUGGCAUAGUCCAUUCUGGUCGGAGCCAUUUCAAUAUGGCUAGGGAUGUUGUAUGUAGUUCUAAGGGCGUCUAGGUGAGACUGCAAUAACUCACUGUGCUCCCAAGGGAGGGGCAUGUCUAGUUGAAGUCAUUUCGAACACUCAGGUUCUUCGGAAGAAUAUUAGCACUGUUAGGGGAACGAGGGUUUUCUCCACUUCUUCCCCCUCACUAUCGGAAGA
rnacentral:lncRNA from 1 species